rnacentral:tRNA from 1 species
GCGCGAUUAGCUCAGUUGGAUAGAGCGUCGGCCUCCGGAGCCGAAGGCCACUGGUUCGAAUCCAGUAUCGCGCGCCA